CCCUCUUCCCCCCCAUUUAGGUAAUCUACCUUUUGAUUCCUCAUACCCAAGUGCAUAACCUUGCACUUCUUUGCAUUUGCCAGGUUUUCACCCACUCACUCAGUCUAUCCAUACCCUUUUGCAGAAUCACAAUGUACUCCUCAUCACAACAUGCCCUUUCUCCUAUUUUCAUAUCAUCAGAUUUGGAAGCCUUGCAUUUUGUUCUCUCCUCCAGGUCAUUAAUGUAAAUAAUAAACAAUUGAUGGCUAAGAACUGAUCCCCAGGGUACGCUGCUAGUGACAUCCUUCCAACCUGAAAAGUAUCUGUUUAUUCCAAUUCAUUUUUUUUAUGACAGCCACUUUUUCCAAUCCAUGCUAACACAUUUCUUCCAAUACCAUGGGCUCAUAAUUUAUGCACCAAAGUUUUUGUGUGCACCUUGUCAAAUGCCUUUUGGAAAUCUAAACACUACAUCUAGAAUUUUCCCUCUAUCAACCGUCCCUUUCACAUCCACAAAGAAUUUGAGCAAAUUUGUCAAACAUGAUUUGUCUUUCAUAAAACCAUGUUGACUAGGUUUGAUUUAUAUUCAACUUUCCUCUUUGACUCCAGCAUUUUGCCAACAAAUGUUAAACUAAUUGGCCUAUAGUUCCCUGCCUUCUGUCUUCCUCCCAUUUUGAACAAGGGAGUCAUAUUGGUUGUUUUCCAAUCUUCUGGUACCCUCCUGGAAUUAAGUGAAUUUUGAAAAAUUUCAAUCAAUGGGUACACUAUCUCUGCAGCCACCUCCUUUUAAAGCCUUUGGGAGCAGGCCAUCAGAUUCCGGUGACUGGUCUACCUUUAGCUCUGUGAAUUUCUCCAAUACUUUAUCCCUCCUGAUUGGGAUUUUUACAUGUUCAUCUUUUAUUUGAAAUUAGCCCAUCUGUUAUCUGAUACUAGCAGUACCCUCCAUGGUGAAGACUGAUGCAAAACAUUGAACAUGUAUGCCAUUUCUUUGUUUUAUCGUUAUUAAUUUGCAGGCCUCAUUUUCUAGAGGUCUCACGCCAAUCCUAGCUGCUGCCUUCCUAUUUACAUAUCAACAGAAACUCUGUUUGCUUUGACAAUAUACUCAAGUUUUCUCUCAAUCAAUUUUUCCCUCGUAAGCUGCUAGAUCCAAAAAAUGUUCCAAUCCUCCGACCUACUACCAGCCCUUACAACUUUGCAUGCCCUAUUUUUCAAUUUAACAUUAUCCUUGACCACCUUUGUUAACACAGAUUUUCUUUCUCAUGGAAUCUCUCUAAUCAGGAUAAAUUCCUGCUGAGUAUUAUGGAUUAGAUGUUUGAAUAUCUGCUGCUGUUCAUCUACUCUUAGAUGACCUCUCAUCUUAUUUUCCCAGUCCACCUUGGACAAUUCCAGCUUCAUUCCAUUAUAAUUGCCUUUAUUUAAGUUGAAGACAGUAAUUUUAAUCCUGUGAUGGUCACCCUCAAACUGCAUCUGGAAUUUUAUCUUGUGGUCACAACCUCCUAGAGGAUCUUUAACCAUGAGAUUUCAUUAUUACGCAUGUCUGUCUAAAACAUACUGUUCUAAGAAGCAAUCCCUGACUUACUCCAUGAAUCCUCCUACAAUAUCCUUGCCAUAUUGGUUUGUCCUAUCAAUAUGUAGAUUUUAAAAUCUCCCAUGACAAUUGCAGCUACCUUCAAACAUGCCCUAGAUAUUUCCCCAUUUAUGCUCUGCCCUAUCAAGAGGUCACAUUUUGGGGGCUUGUAUGCCCAACUGUGUCUUUCCCCUACUAUUCAUAGUUGCAACCCAAACAGAUUCUACAUUACCAUCCACUGCUGCCAUAUCAUGACUCAGCACUGUCCUGAUACCUUCCUGGAUUUACAGUGCUCCCCUAACUCCUUUCCCUUUUGGCUUGUUCUUUUGGAGGCUGUAAUAUUGAGCACCCAGUCCUGGUCAAUCUGCAACCACAUCUCCAUGUUACAUAUGGGGUCAUACUCACGCUGCUAUCUGUGCAGUCAAUUCAUCUUGUCUUAUUGCCAAUGCCAUGUGUGAUCAACUGAAGACUGUUAUAGAGGCUAAAGGUGUUCAUGCUGAAAAUGAAACCAUUUCUAAUUUUAAUACAUAGAGGUGUACCCAGUGUGAAUAGUCUCUUGUAACCUAACCCCUAACCUGGAGUUUCCUUCAGGCAGCAUUUGUAGAGCCAGCAGCUUUCAUUCAAUGCUGUGAAGUCCAGUGUGCCUUCACUCUAUAAAUCCCCCUCCUUCCCUCUUUCUUCCCCCCACCCGCCCCCCCCCCCCAAAGAAAUCAACAGGGCAUGUAGAAAAUGCAACAAAUUGCUGCCUUCACUCCUGUUGUGUUGCGAUUGAUAUGAUAUAGAUGAUAAACAUUUGAGUGGCAAAUGCCAUUCUCUUUGCCUCCCUCUUAAUUAUGUCCCCUGUUCUGGAAAAUGGUCUCAAUAGAAACAAAAGUGAAAGAGUGAUAGUUUAUAAUGAUGGGCCCAUCUUGUCUGAAGCUGAGAACCAGUCUGGUACAGUUUUCCGAUAAAUGUUGGGCAAUGGGAAAAAUCCAUUUGCAAAAACAGAUUAGCAGGAGAACAAAUUGUGAUAGGGCGAUCACAUUGCAAGAAAUGGCCCAGUCUGCUGCUGCUAGGUCUGGGACUGACUGUUGAUGGUUUUUGAGGAACAUCAUAAAACAUUACCUUGUCUCGGUCAUAGUAAUGAUCUGUAAGUAUCACAUAUGAAAAUGUCAUUUCUAAUGUUUAUCCUUCACUACCCCAUCCAAAGAGUCUUGUUUUGCAAGCAACAACAGUAUUGUAAAUCUACUGCAGAAGGAGAACUCCCAAACCCUGCAAACAUUUUGUGAUUCUGCUGCACAGACCAGUCUUUCAAAAUUACUUAGUUAUUAGUGGCAGGGAUGUGGAAAAACCCCUUUCUAUUUUAUACAUAAUGUUUAAAUAGGCUUCUGACUAAACUCCUUAUCCAGUGCUUGUAAAAUAAAAAGUGAAAGCUUGAAUUUUCUGGACUUCAGGUUCUGUGGAAGGGUCGCUGAGUUACUGACUUUAUAAGGAGUGGGCUGCAUUGGUUAUUUCUGGCUUUUCUGGAAGAAUUAUGACAUUUCUAUUUGCUGAUAAUGUUGUCUUGCUGGUGAAUUACCUGAGAAAUGAUAUACUUUACCUAUUACCUUGAUCAAUGAGUUAAUAUAUUAAAAGGAUCUCCUAAAAGUAGUUUUGCAUGCAUGAAAAGGACAUCUGUGAGAUAUUAAAUGGUUAAGGUUGUUAAUGUAAUUUAAGUGAACAUUUUUUAAAAAAAUGUAAAGGCCUGCUUGACUGUAGAAUUAAGACCCUAUAACACAUGCUAUUUAUAUGUAUCAAUAACUAAGCAAAUCAUUCCAAACUGAAAGUACUGAGCCAUACAAAGCCCUCAUGUUGUACCAGAAUUAUACAUUUGAUACAACCCAAUACAUACACUCUGAUCCCUUCAAGUUCAGUAGCCAGACUCUGAAAUGAAGAUGGUCACCUUAAAUUUACAGCUCAAACUUCCGGUUAACCAUCCAUUAAUUAUUUAUUCUUUAACAAAACCUUGGUUCACAUGGGAAAGACAGAAAAUAUCUAGGCGGCCUUGGUAUUUCAGGGUUUUUAAGUUCCCUGUUAUGUACCGUCUAUUCUGUUACAUAUAUACCAAGUCCUUCUUCUUUGAAGACACAAUUCAAAGGUUACUGGAAAGUACUGCUAAAGCUUCAGAACUCUUGAUUCUAACAUGUUUCUAAAUAAAGUAAUUCAAAUAUUGUACUACUAGAUGCUUCCUGUGAAUUUCUGCUUCUAUGUAUUUUAUUUCUUGUAAAUAAAUUUAGCUAUUAUGUUUAUCUGCAUUGAAAUAUUUAUUACUUGUCAAAGCAAAUGGGGAAGCAUGGGCAGCACAAUAACAAAAGUAAGCUUCUUGUUAUUUUACUUCAUGAUUGCUUGUUGUGACACUUUAUAGGGUUAAGAUCCCAAUCACUCUCACAAUGGUUACAGCGUGAAAGGAGGCCAUUUGGCUCAGAGUCCACAUUGGUUAUACUGUAUGUAAAAGCAAUCCAGCACUCAGGAUAUGUUCCCAGAAUGACAGCAUUAAUGGAAUCAGCACCAAAAGAGGUCAUUAAGAGGUACGGAAGCCUGAAGUCCCAGACCACCAGGUUCAAGAACAGCUACUUCCCUUCAAAUAUUCAUUUCUUGAACCAACCUGCACAACCCUAAUCUCUGCCUUGGUACAGCAACACUAUGACCACUUUGCACUACAAUGGACUUUAUGCAAGAAAGAACACAAUUAGAACAAAAUAAAAAUAAUGUUGUACAAGUUAUGUUAAUUAUGCUUUUCUUCUGAAUGUGUGUAUCAGAUGCCAUGUGUGGGUGAUGCUGCUGCAAGUAAAUUUUUCAUUGCACCUGUGCAUACAUGUACUCAUACAUAUGACAAUAAACUCGACUUUGUCUUU